rnacentral:rRNA from 1 species
GACGAACGCUGGCGGCGUGCUUAAUACAUGCAAGUCGAACGGAAAGGCCCUGCUUUUGUGGCUUGCUCGAGUGGCGAACGGGUGAGUAUCACGUGAGUAACCUGCACUUGACUUUGGGAUAACUUCAGGGAACAGGGGCUCUUACCGCAUAGGAUCUCUUGCUGCAUGGUGGGGGAUGGAAAGAUUCGGCUGUGGGGGAUGGACUCGAGGCUUAUCGGCUUGUUGGUGGAGUAGUGGCUUACAAGGGCUUUGAGGGGAAGCCGGCCUGAGAGGGGGACCGGCCACAUGGGGCCUGAGAGACGGACCAGAAUCCAACGGGAGGCAGCAGUGGGGAAUAUGGCGGAAUGGGCGGAAGCCUGAUACAGCAACGCCGGGUGCGGGAUGACGGGUUUCGGGUGGUGAACCGCUUUCGCAGGAAACAAAGCGGGAUUGACGGUAAUGGGUAAGGAAGCACCGGCUAACUACGUG